CCUACGGGAGGCAGCAGUAGGGAAUAUUGCUCAAUGGGGGAAACCCUGAAGCAGCAACGCCGCGUGGAGGAUGAAGGUUUUCGGAUUGUAAACUCCUUUUGUUAGAGAAGAUAAUGACGGUAUCUAACGAAUAAGCACCGGCUAACUCCGUGCCAGCAGCCGCGGUAAUACGGCGGGUGCAAGCGUUACUCGGAAUCACUGGGCGUAAAGCGCGCGUAGGCGGGAUAGCAAGUCAGAUGUGAAAUCCUAUGGCUUAACCAUAGAACUGCAUUUGAAACUGGUAUUCUAGAGUAUGGGAGAGGUAGGUGGAAUGCUUGGUGUAGGGGUAAAAUCCGUAGAGAUCAAGAGGAAUACUCAUUGCGAAGGCGACCUGCUAGAACAUAACUGACGCUGAUGCGCGAAAGCGUGGGGAGCAAACAGGAUUAGAUACCCGGGUAGUC
rnacentral:rRNA from 1 species